rnacentral:rRNA from 1 species
AGUGAACGCUGGCGGCAGGCCUAACACAUGCAAGUCGAACGGCAGCACAGGAGAGCUUGCUCUCUGGGUGGCGAGUGGCGGACGGGUGAGGAAUGCGUCGGAAUCUGCCUAUUUGUGGGGGAUAACGUAGGGAAACUUACGCUAAUACCGCAUACGACCUACGGGUGAAAGUGGGGGACCGCAAGGCCUCACGCAGAUAGAUGAGCCGACGCCGGAUUAGCUAGUUGGCGGGGUAAAGGCCCACCAAGGCGACGAUCCGUAGCUGGUCUGAGAGGAUGAUCAGCCACACUGGAACUGAGACACGGUCCAGACUCCUACGGGAGGCAGCAGUGGGGAAUAUUGGACAAUGGGCGCAAGCCUGAUCCAGCCAUGCCGCGUGUGUGAAGAAGGCCUUCGGGUUGUAAAGCACUUUUGUCCGGAAAGAAAAGCAUCCGGUUAAUAACCGGGUGUCAUGACGGUACCGGAAGAAUAAGCACCGGCUAACUUCGUGCCAGCCGCCGCGGUAAGAC